GACGUAGGGCGCGAGCGUUGUCCGGAUUUAUUGGGCGUAAAGAGCUCGUAGGCGGCUUGUCGCGUCGUCCGUGAAAACCCAUGGCUCAACUGUGGGCUUGCGGUCGAUACGGGCAGGCUGGAGUUCGGUAGGGGAGACUGGAAUUCCUGGUGUAGCGGUGAAAUGCGCAGAUAUCUGGAGGAACACCGGUGGCGAAGGCGGCAUCCUGGACCGGUAUUGACACUGAAAAGCGAAAGCCAGGGGAGCAAACGGG
rnacentral:rRNA from 1 species